CCUAAACUAACCCAGGCAUCAUGAAAUCUAAUGAGUUUUACACCAUGUUGGUUUAGUGUCCAAAGUUUCAUUUCUUUUCACAUAAAAUCCUUUUUAACUCCACCUUUUCUUAGGGCUAAAAGGAACAGCCAAAGAAUCCAGAAUGGUGACAACAGAGUAGCUACAAGAAAGUAGGAGGAGGCAGAGGAGGCCAGCAGCCUGUGGAAGGGAGAAUACACACCAGGCCAGGGCUAGAGGGGGCCUCCAGGAGGGUCGCCUGUUGGAAGUGGUGGGAAGAAAGGGAGGGGAGAGAAGCAGGCAUAGGAAGGUGUGGAGGGGUGGCAGCCGGCAGCAAGCCAAGGGACGUAUUUAUUUUGCAUGGGAGGAGAAGCUACUCUAUUAUCCCUACAAGGCUACUGGAAUAAAACACCAAACAGAACCUGGGAUAGGAGAACCCGGACAAGGGAGAGGCGGACACUAAGAAAGACAGGAGCCUCCUGAAGGAAGUGGAGAAGCAUCAUUACAGCAUAGCAGCCUCCAGCCACAGAGCUCUGGAAGGAGAGGAUCAUUACUCCUUCUGUUCUUUGUCUGAACUGCCAAAGACUCAGCAAGGACUCUCUCAAGAAGUCAAAAUACUAUUUAAUUUGAUAAUCCUUUUAAAAUUUUAACUUAAUAAAUAACAAUCCUACAUAGCAUCCUCCUUCUAGCAAUUCUCAACCCCUAAAAUUCUAAACCCCAUUCCCUACCCUGAACUGACCACUUCCUUUUUCAAAUUCCUUUACAAACCUCUUUCCCCAAGGACUAAGCAAAAAAUACACUCAUGCCUUCUAUUGAACUCUCUGGAAGUCUACACUGUAGGAAAUACCACCAUCAUUUAGUAACUUUUCCUUUAAAGUUCAUACAACCCAUAUCUCAGUCAAUUUAAAUACUAGUUGUUUUAGUCUGCAGAUUCUCUCUGUGAUGCUUUAUUCUUCCCUCAAUGAGUCUAGCACCUAGUUUAUAUUCUUUCUCCUCUCAAUUCUAAUAGAUGCUUCCCCACUCUAACUCCUCGAUUCCUCAACUUAUUCUUUUUUCCAUAAAUAUACUCUCAUGUCACCUCAACCACACACAAAUAUGUCCUUUAUCUUGUCAUCACCCAUAAACCUACCUUACCACCUACAUGUUGAUGAGUUAAAAAAUCUUUUUUUUACUAGAAAAAUAUCUAUAGGCUUAAAAACUCACCCUCUGCCCUACAGAUCUACACCCUGCUUUUCAUCCAUGAAGUGACUUCCAGCAUCUUGACUCUCAGGUUUUCUCUCCUCAGUUAUCAACCCUCUAAUAAUGACAGUCUUCUUCUUUCACAAUCUUGAU